CUCCGAUGAUGACCCAGCCAUGCUAAUACCGAUACACCAGGGUGUAAGUGAGUUCAACUUCACUUCUCACACUGAUGGGA